UACGGGGGGGGCAAGCGUUGUUCGGAAUUACUGGGCGUAAAGGGCUCGUAGGCGGCCAACUAAGUCCGACGUGAAAUCCCCAGGCUUAACCUGGGAACUGCGUCGGAUACUGGAUGGCUUGAAUCCGGGAGAGGGAUGCGGAAUUCCAGGUGUAGCGGUGAAAUGCGUAGAUAUCUGGAGGAACACCGGUGGCGAAGGCGGCAUCCUGGACCGGCAUUGACGCUGAGGAGCGAAAGCCAGGGGAGCAAACGGGG
rnacentral:rRNA from 1 species